rnacentral:lncRNA from 1 species
CCAAACAAAAGAGCCAUUGUGACUCUUCAACAACAACUAUAAAUUCAUCAAAACAAACCAUAGCUCCUGAAAUUGACAUAUUUCUGUCACACAACUUGUCCAAAUUGAAAUUUUCAUUCAUUCACCCAAAAGCUGAUUGAUUCAUGAACCAACUGAUCUUAGUACCCUGAGUCAAUACCCGAACCACCACCUUUGCUUUGUGUUAAGACCCAAAUUAAUAACCUCGAGCUAGUUGAGCCGGC